AACAUAUUAAGAGAAGAGAUGUUUUUAAAGCCCAAUUCAGCAAGUUGAUAUUGCACUUUGCUGAAGAGAAGGUAAGGGUGGUCAUCUCUUCAAGAAAAUUUCUUCACUUGUUGGCACCUGGCAGUGGCCGGAGAUGUCCCAGAAUGUCCUUUUUGAACACCUCCUCUUGUUACUCUAAACAAGGCAUUUGAGAGAUGCACCAUACCGCAAACCUGGCUGCCGCUAGCAUCCCACUCUAAGAAGCCGCUAUUUAAAGCACAAAUCACAG